AUUAAAACAGUUAUAGUUUGCUUGAGGUAUAAAUUACCGGAUAACUGUGGAAAUACUACAGCUAAGACGUAGCAACCUUAUAUAAGGUGUAGCAUAUUUUUUGAAUAGUUUUAACGACUUUUGUCGUUUUUUUGAAUAGUAAAUGCACGAAUCGGAAUUUCCGAGAGUUCAUCAAAGUUUCUGACCUAUCAGGUUUCGACGGUAGGGUAUUGGCCUACCGUGCCUAUGACGGGUAACGGGGGAUGAGGGUUCGGUCCCGGAGAGGGAGCUUGAGAAAUGGCUACCACAUCUAAGGAAGGCAGCAGGCGCGCAAAUUACCGAUCCCUGACAUAGGGAGGUAGUAAACAGAAAUAAUGACACAUGAUAAAUAUCGUGUGAUCGGAAUGAGUAGCACUCAAACGAUGUUACGAAAUCAAUUGGAGGGCAAGUCUGGUGCCAGCAGCCGCGGUAAUUCCAGCUCCAAUAGCGUAUAUUAAAGUUGUUGCAGUUGAAAAGUUCGUAGUCGAUUUUUGUUCGCUUAAGCUAAGGUAAUAUGAAUAUUAUUCGUAUUACACUAUGCGUUGGGUGAAAUAAAUGGAGAACAUUCAAUUUGAAUGAACUUCAUCAUUACUUUGAGUGAAUCGGUGUGCUUAAAGCAGGUGUUAUGCCAUGAACGAUUUACCAUAGUAUUACCAUAAUAUGAAAGCAAUUUUUAUUCAAGAUUUCUUUGUAUAGAAAUAAGAAUGGCUGGGGGCAUUCGUAUCCAAUUGCCAGAGGUGAAAUUCUUUGACUAGUUGAGGACGAACAACUGCGAAAGCAUCUGCCAAGGACGUGUCUGUUGAUCAAGAACGAAAGUUAGGUGAUCGAAGAUGAUUAGAUACCGUCGUAGUCCUGACUAUAAACUAUGCUAUCCAAGAAUUGGAGCGGUAAUUUAAUAUACCUUUCCAGUACUUUGUGAGAAAUUAUAAGACUUUGAGUUCUGGGGGGAGUAUAGUUGCAAGGCCGAAACUUAAAGGAAUUGACGGAAGGGCACCACCAGGAGUGGAGCUUGCGGCUUAAUUUGACUCAACACGGGAAAACUUACCAGGAUAAGACAUAAGAAGGAUUGACAGAUUGAUUGUUCUUUCUUGAUGUUGUGGGUGGUGGUGCAUGGCCGUUCUUAGUUCGUGGAGUAAUCUGUCUGGUUAAUUCCGUUAACGAACGAGACCUUAAUUUGAUAAUUGGACUCUAUGUCAUAGCAUAGAGGUUUCAUUAUAAGGACUAUGUGUGUUAUAACACAAGGAAGUUUAAGGCAAUAACAGGUCUGUGAUGCCCUUAGAUAUCCUGGGCAGCACGCGUGCUACAUUGAUGUAAAUAACGAGUUUCGCAAAUCGAGAGACGUGUGAAAUCAUUAAUUUACAUCAACCCAGGGAUUGCUUGUUGUAAUUUCAAGCAUGAACUAGGAAUUCCUAGUAAGCAUGAAUCACUAGUUCGUGUUGAUUAUGUCCCUGCCCUUUGUACACACCGCCUGUCGCACCUAUCGAUUAGGUAACAUGGUGAAAACGAAGGAGAUUUUUUCGAGAGUUCGCUCCUCAGAGGAGAUUGAAUUCGUGUGAACCUUGUUAUCCAGAGAAAGGUGAAGUCA
rnacentral:rRNA from 1 species